GACGUGCUCGCUCUUUUUUGGCACGAGUUUGAGUUCAUCUGACAAAAAUAAAAAAAAAUUCUGCAGCUUUUCACAUUUUCGGCUGAUUUGUUUCUUCAAAUUUCUAAAAAUAUCCAUUCGACAUGUCGAACCAAGUCUGCCUCUUGUGUUCUCGAGUUUUUAGCAACAUCGGAUACAAAUUUCCACAAAAAAUCAGACUCAAAACCCUGCACAAACUAUUAACACUUUGUCAUCACAAUUACAAGUCUUUAAACUCGGAAUAUGAAUUUGACGGCGAUGAGACGAUUAACCUUUGUGUCAAUUGUUAUCCUCUCUUUGGCACAAUGGAAGAAAUUAGAAGGCAAAUUUCACUCCUAGAGGAAGAAAUGGGGUCGAAAAUAAACCAAAUUCAGGCAAUCAUUCGAGAAAAAUCCUCCUCUCAGUUAGAAAAUAA